CCUACGGGCGGCUGCAGUGAGGAAUAUUGGUCAAUGGACGAGAGUCUGAACCAGCCAAGUAGCGUGAAGGAUGACUGCCCUAUGGGUUGUAAACUUCUUUUAUAUGGGAAUAAAAUGUUCCACGUGUGGGAUUUUGUAUGUACCAUAUGAAUAAGGAUCGGCUAACUCCGUGCCAGCAGCCGCGGUAAUACGGAGGAUCCGAGCGUUAUCCGGAUUUAUUGGGUUUAAAGGGAGCGUAGGUGGAUUGUUAAGUCAGUUGUGAAAGUUUGCGGCUCAACCGUAAAAUUGCAGUUGAAACUGGCAGUCGUGAGUACAGUAGAGGUGGGCGGAAUUCGUGGUGUAGCGGUGAAAUGCUUAGAUAUCACGAAGAACUCCGAUUGCGAAGGCAGCUCACUGGACUGCAACUGACACUGAGGCUCGAAAGUGUGGGUAUCAAACAGGAUUAGAUACCCCUGUAGUC
rnacentral:rRNA from 1 species